GGGUGCGACGGGCACGCGCUCGCCGCAGGAGGAGGAGCAGUCGGGCCGCUGCUC
rnacentral:ncRNA from 2 species